rnacentral:rRNA from 1 species
UACGUAGGGCGCAAGCGUUGUCCGGAAUUAUUGGGCGUAAAGAGCUCGUAGGCGGCUUGUCACGUCGGGUGUGAAAGCCCGGGGCUUAACCCCGGGUCUGCAUCCGAUACGGGCAGGCUAGAGUGUGGUAGGGGAGAUCGGAAUUCCUGGUGUAGCGGUGAAAUGCGCAGAUAUCAGGAGGAACACCGGUGGCGAAGGCGGAUCUCUGGGCCAUUACUGACGCUGAGAAGCGAAAGCAUGGGGAGCGAACAGG